GGUCACGGUGAUGACCAAAUAAAAUUCAAGCUCAACAGACCGGAAUGCACGGUUUUCUCAUUUUUAGAUUACUUUGCGUGUCGACUAUCCCACUGGACUAAGUGAUG